UACGUAGGGCGCAAGCGUUGUCCGGAAUUAUUGGGCGUAAAGAGCUCGUAGGCGGUCUGUCGCGUCGGCUGUGAAAACCCGGAGCUCAACUCCGGGCCUGCAGUCGAUACGGGCAAACUGGAGUACUGCAGGGGAGACUGGAAUUCCUGGUGUAGCGGUGAAAUGCGUAGAUAUCAGGAGGAACACCGGUGGCGAAGGCGGGUCUCUGGGCAGUAACUGACGCUGAGGAGCGAAAGCGUGGGGAGCGAACAGG
rnacentral:rRNA from 1 species